UACGUAGGUGGCAAGCGUUGUCCGGAUUUACUGGGCGUAAAGAGCGCGCAGGCGGUCGUUCAAGUCGAGUGUGAAAGCCCCCGGCUCAACUGGGGAGGGUCACUCGAUACUGAUCGACUCGAAGGCAGAAGAGGGAAGCGGAAUUCCCGGUGUAGUGGUGAAAUGCGUAGAUAUCGGGAGGAACACCAGUGGCGAAGGCGACUACCUGGCCUGUUCUUGACGCUGAGGCGCGAAAGCUAGGGAGCAAACGGG
rnacentral:rRNA from 1 species